GAUGAAGAACGUAGCGAAAUGCGAUACGUAAUGUGAAUUGCAGAAUUCAGUGAAUCAUCGAAUCUUUGAACGCACAUUGCGCCCGCCAGUAUUCUGGCGGGCAUGCCUGUUCGAGCGUCAUUACAACCCUCAGGCCCCCGGGCCUGGCGUUGGGGAUCGGCGAGGCGCCCCCCGCGGGCACGCGCCGUCCCCCAAAUACAGUGGCGGUCCCGCCGCAGCUUCCAUUGCGUAGUAGCUAACACCUCGCAACUGGAGAGCGGCGCGGCCAUGCCGUAAAACACCCAACUUCUGAAUGUUGACCUCGAAUCAGGUAGGAAUACCCGCUGAACUUAAGCAUAUCAAUAAGCGGAGGA
rnacentral:misc_RNA from 1 species